rnacentral:rRNA from 1 species
UACAGAGGUCCCAAGCGUUGUUCGGAUUCACUGGGCGUAAAGGGUGCGUAGGUGGUGAGGUAAGUCGGAUGUGAAAUCUCCGAGCUCAACUCGGAAAUUGCAUUGGAAACUACCUUGCUUGAGGGUUGGAGGGGGGACUGGAAUGCUUGGUGUAGCAGUGAAAUGCGUAGAUAUCAAGCGGAACACCAGUGGCGAAGGCGGGUUGCUGGGCUGACACUGACGCUGAGGCGCGAAAGCUAGGGGAGCGAACGGG